UUUCCUUUAAGACAUUGCUUGUCAUGAGGCUCCCAUCUGUUUUGUUCAGAUGAAUUCUCCAAUUUUAGGCAUUUUCUUCCUUGAACUUUUUUUUUUUUUUUUUUGGUCACGAGACCACCCUUUGUUCACACAAGUAUCAACUGGACUGGCCAAGCCACUAUCCUUUGACACCACCAUUCCAUGAAAGGUGAGGCAGUGAGCCCAAUCCCGGUCUGCUCUGUGCAGGACCCACUUCAAGAGGGUCUGUUGUUUGUCAUUUUCAGUCUUCCCACUCAGCGUUGCUGUAAUCCCUGGACUCCAUCAGAGUUGAGGAAGUGGUGUAAGACAGACAGACAGACAGACAGAUAAACAGACAGAUCAAGGUUGCAAAAGUCUGAGGAAGAAAGAGAGAGAGAGCGCGCGCAGGAGA